rnacentral:lncRNA from 1 species
CCCACAGGGAGGGAAAGUGCUGAGUCACUCUGGCGGGGCGCGAUGGCUCGGGGCGGGGCUCGGACCAGAACCCCCUCCUCUCUCCUCCUCUUGCACCCCCGGCCCUCUCUGACUCUCGCGAGAGCCCUACAGGCUAUAAAGGCAGCGCCCCGCGCACGUCUCACGCGUCUUCUUCCUGCCUUGUCUUCGGAGCUUUUGUUCGUAGAGCGGCCAAUAGCAAGAUGUCUUCAGGAAAUGCCAAAAUUGGGCAUCCUGCCCCCAACUUCAAAGCCACGGCUGUUAUGCCAGAUGGCCAGUUCAAAGACCUCAGCCUAUCUGACUACAAAGAGAUUACAAGUAGACGGAAUAGCAAGCAGAGAGAAGGGGGGAAGCAGGCUCCCCGCUGAGCAGCGGGCCGGAUCCCAGGACCCCGAGACCAUGACCUGACCUGAAGGCAGAGGCCCAACCCACUGAGCUACUUACGCGCCCCUUAACUUUUUAACUUCUUAUUAUUUAUUUAUUUAUUUAUUUAUUUUUAAAUUUUAUUUAUUUAUCAGAGGGGGGGGGUAGAGAGCGAGCACAGGCAGACAGAAUGGCAGGCN